rnacentral:rRNA from 1 species
AACGAACGCUGGCGGCAUGCCUAACACAUGCAAGUCGAACGAGACCUUCGGGUGUAGUGGCGCAUGGGUGCGUAACGCGGGGGAACCGGCCCGUAGGCUCGGAAUAACACUCCGAAAGGGGCGCUAAUACCGGAUAAUGUCUUCGGACCAAAGAUUUAUCGCCUUUGGAUGGGCCCGCGUUGGUUUAGCCAGUUGGUAGUGUAAAAGCCUACCAAGGCGACGAUCCAUAGCUGGUCUGAGAGGAUGGGCCGCCACACUGGGACUGAGACACGGCCCAGACUCCUACGCGAUGCGGCAGUGGGGGAUAUAGGACUAUCGGCGAAGUCCUGAUGCAGCUAUGCCGGGUGAGUGAUGAAGUCCUUAGGGAUGUACAGCUCGUUUACCCGGGAUGAUAAUGACGGUACCGGGAGAAUAAGCACCGGCUAACUCCGUG